UGAGUUUGAUCCUGGCUCAGGACGAACGCUGGCGGCGUGCCUAACACAUGCAAGUCGAGCGAAUGAAAUUCCUUUGGGAACGGAUUUAGCGGCGGACGGGUGAGUAGCACGUGGGCAACCUGCCUCAUAGAGGGGAAUAGCCUCCCGAAAGGGAGAUUAAUACCGCAUAAGAUUGUAGUACCGCAUGGUACAGCAAUUAAAGGAGCAAUCCGCUAUGAGAUGGGCCCGCGGCGCAUUAGCUAGUUGGUGAGGUAACGGCUCACCAAGGCGACGAUGCGUAGCCGACCUGAGAGGGUGAUCGGCCACAUUGGGACUGAGACACGGCCCAGACUCCCACGGGAGGCAGCAGUGGGGAAUAUUGCACAAUGGGGGAAACCCUGAUGCAGCAACGCCGCGUGGGUGAUGACGGCCUUCGGGUUGUAAAGCUCUGUCUUCAGGGACGAUAAUGACGGUACCUGAGGAGGAAGCCACGGCUAACUACGUGCCAGCAGCCGCGGUAAUACGUAGGUGGCGAGCGUUGUCCGGAUUUACUGGGUGUAAAGGG
rnacentral:rRNA from 1 species